rnacentral:rRNA from 1 species
AACGAACGCUGGCGGCAUGCCUAACACAUGCAAGUCGAACGAGACCUUCGGGUCUAGUGGCGCACGGGUGCGUAACGCGUGGGAACCUGCCCUUAGGUUCGGAAUAACUCCCCGAAAGGGGUGCUAAUACCGGAUAAUGUCUUCGGACCAAAGAUUUAUCGCCUUUGGAUGGGCCCGCGUUGGAUUAGCUAGUUGGUAGGGUAAAAGCCUACCAAGGCGACGAUCCAUAGCUGGUCUGAGAGGCUGAUCAGCCACACUGGGACUGAGACACGGCCCAGACUCCUACGGGAGGCAGCAGUGGGGAAUAUUGGACAAUGGGCGAAAGCCUGAUCCAGCAAUGCCGCGUGAGUGAUGAAGGCCUUAGGGUUGUAAAGCUCUUUUACCCGGGAUGAUAAUGACAGUACCGGGAGAAUAAGCACCGGCUAACUCCGUG